GCCGGGCGCGGUGGCUCAUGCCUGUAAUCCCAGCACUUUGGGAGGCUGAGUCAGGCGGAUCACCUGUGGUCAGGAGUUCGAGACCAGCCUGACCAACAUGGAGAAACCCUGACUCUA
ensembl:misc_RNA Metazoa_SRP Metazoan signal recognition particle RNA